rnacentral:lncRNA from 11 species
CCCCACUUUUGUAUCCUGCUUAAUCUAGGCCUACCCCAGAGCAUAUGCUCCAGACUAGCCCCAGAUCGACUAUGAUGGAUGCUGCAUGCACUGGAUUGAAUCUCUGUGACAUCACACCUGGUGUCUUAAUGGUCCAGGGAGGAAACACAAGUGAAACCCAGGCUGAAUGGAAAUGACAUACAAUAUGUCCCUGCAUGCAAUUCUGUUGUAAAUCAUCAGAACCUAAAUUAGC